rnacentral:rRNA from 1 species
GUAACGGCCCACCAAGGCGACGAUCAGUAGGGGUUCUGAGAGGAAGGUCCCCCACAUUGGAACUGAGACACGGUCCAAACUCCUACGGGAGGCAGCAGUGAGGAAUAUUGGUCAAUGGGCGAGAGCCGGAACCAGCCAAGUAGCGUGCAGGAUGACGGCCCUAUGGGUUGUAAACUGCUUUUAUAGGGGAAUAAAGUGAUCCACGUGUGGUUUUUUGCAUGUACCUUAUGAAUAAGGACCGGCUAAUUCCGUGCCAGCAGCCGCGGUAAUACGGAAGGUCCGGGCGUUAUCCGGAUUUAUUGGGUUUAAAGGGAGCGUAGGCCGGAGAUUAAGCGUGUUGUGAAAUGUAGAUGCUCAACAUCUGAACUGCAGCGCGAACUGGUUUCCUUGAGUACGCAUAAAGUGGGCGGAAUUCGUGGUGUAGCGGUGAAAUGCUUAGAUAUCACGAAGAACUCCGAUUGCGAAGGCAGCUCACUGGGGCGCAACUGACGCUGAAGCUCGAAAGCGCGGGUAUCGAACAGGAUUAGAUACCCUGGUAGUCCGCGCGGUAAACGAUGGAUGCCCGCUGUUGGGCCAACUGGUUCAGCGGCCAAGCGAAAGCAUUAAGCAUCCCACCUGGGGAGUAC